GAUGAAUUCAACGGUGCAAUCAUCAGGCAAUGAGGCUAACAUUGACGUUCAAUCGCUAGUUGCAACGUUAUCAAAUGGCUCUGCACUCGCAGUAAAUGACGGUGCAACAUUCAGUCCACCAGAGAAUGGCGAAUGUGUAGAUGCUGAAGAAGCAAAUGGAUCUGACGAUCCAUUGGAUGCUGACCUUCGGGAUUUCUGAAUGACACGAAGCGGAUUCGAAUGAUUUUUGGUUCAAGACGACUAUAGUCGCAUCGAAACCAACCAAUAAUUCAUAUUCUAAUAAGAAAAAAAAUGCAAGUUAUUGCAUUGGCAUUGAAAAACAAAAAAAUAUUUUGAUGUUCCCAUUAAGCGAUAUGCACAGGUGAAUUGCGAUUGUUCAACCAUUCUAAUCAUAUCAACUGAUUUCAACGGUUCAUUUUGAUUCACACAUUUUUCCAUUACUUCUGCAUUCAUUCUCCGAAUUAUUUCAACAUAAAAUUUUGACUUACAUUUGAAAAUAUUAAAAAAAUUCUAUUCAAACAAUCGCGACUCGCCUGAAUCCUAAGUAUGCGUACAGUAAAUAGAAUACUAAGUUCAAAGCUACCUCAUAAAUACGUAAAAAUCGAUUUAAAGUAAAAUUUAUGCGCUGAUGUUAUUCUAUCGAAUAACAGAGAAGCGAUUUCUAGACGCUAAUCUCAUCUGGUUACAAACUCUAAGCUUAAACUGACUACGAAAAACUGAUUUUGCUUUGAAAGUCGCAAAAAGUUUAUUUUGAAUGUGAAAAUAUGUCCAAUAACAAACACAGAUUUCAAACAUGCUUAAUUUGAUCAAUAAUUUGCAAGGUGCAAAUAUUUUGUAUCUUCAUGGAAAUUACUGGGAUUGGAUUACCCAGUCGACCACUUGGACAAAAUGAACCUAUUUAGUGUAAUUUGUUUUAGCCUCACUUUAAGUACGGUUAAUAUUUUCAUGUAAAAAAAACCUAAAUCGAUUCGUUGUUAUACAAAAAGUUUGAAAUUUUUGUUCAAAAAUAAAAUGGAACUGAAACAAUAAAAUUUUGAAUUUGAAAUAA